rnacentral:rRNA from 1 species
CCUACGGGAGGCAGCAGUGAGGAAUAUUGGUCAAUGGGCUUACGCCUGAACCAGCCAAGUCGCGUGAGGGAAGACUGCCCUAUGGGUUGUAAACCUCUUUUGUCAGGGAGCAACGCCGGCUACGUGUAGCCGUACUGAGAGUACCUAAAGAAAAAGCAUCGGCUAACUCCGUGCCAGCAGCCGCGGUAAUACGGAGGAUGCGAGCGUUAUCCGGAUUUAUUGGGUUUAAGGGGUGCGUAGGCGGAAUGCCAAGUCAGCGGUAAAAUCGCGGGGCUCAACCUCGCUCCGCCGUUGAAACUGGCGUUCUUGAGUGGGCGAGAAGUAUGCGGAAUGCGUGGUGUAGCGGUGAAAUGCAUAGAUAUCACGCAGAACUCCGAUUGCGAAGGCAGCAUACCGGCGCCCAACUGACGCUGAAGCACGAAAGCGUGGGUAUCGAACAGGAUUAGAUACCCUUGUAGUC